rnacentral:rRNA from 1 species
UUAGCCUACGGGGCGCAGCAGUGAGGAAUAUUGGUCAAUGGGCGGAAGCCUGAACCAGCCAAGUCGCGUGAGGGAAUAAGGCCCUACGGGUCGUAAACCUCUUUUGCCGGGGAGCAAGGGCCGGGACGCGUCCCGGCCCGGAGAGUACCCGGAGAAAAAGCAUCGGCUAACUCCGUGCCAGCAGCCGCGGUAAUACGGAGGAUGCGAGCGUUAUCCGGAAUGAUUGGGCGUAAAGGGUGCGCAGGCGGUCCUGCAAGUCUGGAGUGAAACGCAUG